AGUGCCUACUCCUGCGGUAUCUUUCGUUUUCACACAUCACAGAGUUGUGAAAUUAAUUUUCGACUUUUUUUUGGUGCUUAUUGAAAUAGGUCAUCGACGAGAUUAAUCAUUAGUUGGAUGGUCGGGUAAAUCGUCGACGGAAGUUCCUACCAGAGUUUGCAAUUAUGAACUUCUUACGAUUAACUUCUGGAGAAGUGGUCCGGCCAUCUUCGUGCCAGUUCCUGUUUCGGUUCGAGACGUGCCUUCUGGUAUUAUAAGUUGAGUCGAUUGGCCGGAAUGGAGCAAAAACGCAUGCACUACGACCCGCAGGCUUCCAUUUGACCGGCAGCUCGGUUCUUUUCUGACAGUUUGGGAACCUCCGGAGACAUACAAAGACGUUACCAAGAUUUCGUCCACGCAACGAGAGGUUGAAGCGGAGCCAGCAUCGAACGAUACUG